rnacentral:rRNA from 1 species
AUUAGAUUAAAAACCAAUGCCCUUCGGGGCUCUCUGGUGAUUCAUAAUAACUUCUCGAAUCGCACGGCCUUGCGCCGGCGAUGGUUCAUUCAAAUUUCUGCCCUAUCAACUUUCGACGGCUGGGUCUUGGCCAGCCAUGGUGACAACGGGUAACGGAGGGUUAGGGCUCGACCCCGGAGAAGGAGCCUGAGAAACGGCUACUACAUCCAAGGAAGGCAGCAGGCGCGCAAAUUACCCAAUCCCGACUCGGGGAGGUAGUGACAAUAAAUACUGAUACAGGGCUCUUUUGGGUCUUGUAAUUGGAAUGAGUACAAUUUAAAUCCCUUAACGAGGAACAAUUGGAGGGCAAGUCUGGUGCCAGCAGCCGCGGUAAUUCCAGCUCCAACAGCGUAUAUUAAAGUUGUUGAGGUUAAAAAGCUCGUAGUUGAACCUUGGGCCCAGCCGGCCGGUCCGCCUCACCGCGUGCACUGGCUCGGCCGGGCCUUUCCUUCUGGAGAACCUCAUGCCCUUCACUGGG